GGGCGGGUGGCGAAAUUGGUAGACGCAUCAGACUCAAAAUCUGACGAUCGUGAGAUCGUGAGAGUUCGAUUCUCUCCCUGCCCA
rnacentral:tRNA from 9 species